rnacentral:rRNA from 1 species
CCUGGCGGCGUGCCUACACAUGCAAGUCGAGCGAUCUCUUCGGAGAGAGCGGCGGACGGGUGAGUAACGCGUGGGUAACCUGCCCUGUACACACGGAUAACAUACCGAAAGGUAUACUAAUACGGGAUAACAUACGAAAGUCGCAUGGCUUUUGUAUCAAAGCUCCGGCGGUACAGGAUGGACCCGCGUCUGAUUAGCUAGUUGGUAAGGUAAUGGCUUACCAAGGCAACGAUCAGUAGCCGACCUGAGAGGGUGAUCGGCCACACUGGAACUGAGACACGGUCCAGACUCCUACGGGAGGCAGCAGUGGGGAAUAUUGCACAAUGGGCGAAAGCCUGAUGCAGCAACGCCGCGUGAGCGAUGAAGGCCUUCGGGUCGUAAAGCUCUGUCCUCAAGGAAGAUAAUGACGGUACUUGAGGAGGAAGCCCCGGCUAACUACGUGCCAGCAGCCGCGGUAAUACGUAGGGGGCUAGCGUUAUCCGGAAUUACUGGGCGUAAAGGGUGCGUAGGUGGUUUUUUAAGUCAGAAGUGAAAGGCUACGGCUCAACCGUAGUAAGCUUUUGAAACUAGAGAACUUGAGUGCAGGAGAGGAGAGUAGAAUUCCUAGUGUAGCGGUGAAAUGCGUAGAUAUUAGGAGGAAUACCAGUAGCGAAGGCGGCUCUCUGGACUGUAACUGACACUGAGGCACGAAAGCGUGGGGAGCAAACAGGAUUAGAUACCCUGGUAGUCCACGCCGUAAACGAUGAGUACUAGGUGUCGGGGGGUUACCCCCCUCGGUGCCGCAGCUAACGCA